GACGAACGCUGGCGGCGUGCCUAAUACAUGCAAGUCGAACGCAGUGGGGACGGGUGAGUAACACGUGGGUAACCUCCCAUCAGAGGGGAUAACACUUGGAAACAGGUGCUAAACCGAUACUGAUGGAUGGCCCCGCGGUGCAUUAGCUAGUUGGUGAGGUAACGGCUCACCAAGGCCACGAUGCAUCGUCAACCGGAGAGGGGGAUCGGCAAAACUGGGACGGAGACACGGCACAGACUCCUACGGGAGGCAGCAGUAGGGAAUCUUCGGCAAUGGACGAAAGUCUGACCGAGAAACGCCGCGUGAGUGAAGAAGGUUUUCGGAUCGUAAAACUCUGUUGUUAGAGAAGAGGUAACUAACCAGAAAGCCACGGGUAACUACGUGCCAGCAGCCGCGGUAAUAC
rnacentral:rRNA from 1 species